AGGGAUCAUUACUGAGUUUUCAACUCUCCAAACCAUGUGAACUUACCACUGUUGCCUCGGUGGUUAGUGCUCUCCCGUCAGGGUGGGUGCUGCCGCCGGCGGACUACUAAACUCUUGUUAAUUUUUGUCUGAAUCAAAUCAAGAAAUAAGUUAAAACUUUCAACAACGGAUCUCUUGGUUCUGCGAUGAAGAACGCAGCGAAAUGCGAUAAGUAAUGUGAAUUGCAGAAUUCAGUGAAUCAUCGAAUCUUUGAACGCACAUUGCGCCCAUUAGUAUUCUAGUGGGCCUGUUCGAGCGUCAUUUCAACCCUUAAGCCUAGCUUAGUGUUGGGAGACUGCGCUAAACCGCAGCUCCUCAAAACCAGUGGCGGAGUCCUCUCGUGCUCUGAGCGUAGUAAUUCUUUAUCUCGCUUCUGCAAGUACGGUUGACGACAGCCAUAAACCGCACCCUUCGGGGGCACUUUUUAAUGGUUGACCUCGGAUCAGGUAGGAAUACCCGCUGAACUUAA
rnacentral:misc_RNA from 1 species